CAGCUGUGUUGCCGUCGAUGGUACUAGCGAGCCAAUUACCGAGGAUGUAGCCUAUGUUGGCACCCUAAGUGAGCUUUUGGACAAGGUGCGUGGCGACAAGACUAAAAAGAAGGCCUGCUUAUGCAGAUUCGGAUUCAGAAGAAACAGUUGACAGUGACCCACAUGAAAGUCAGUUGGCUGGUGAUGGGAUUGGGGAUGACGGUGGCAUGCAUUAGCUAAAGUUUGGUCUAUGUGUUAUCCAAUAAGAUAGGAAGGCGUGCGAGAGUUUAUGCGUUUUUCCUUUUUCUGUUUCAUGUUUUUUUUUCUUGGAAGACAUCUUUUUCCACUUCUUUUUGGCCGGCAAGUUUUGCCAAGGAAACAACUUAUGGUCCAUGGUUUAAUAAAGUUUAAGCA